UUCAAACUGCUACUAUCACCAUUAUUGAUGAUGACACUGGUGUGCUGUCAUUAGAGAGAGGAACAUAUGAUGUGAUU